UUGAGAAACGGGAUUAACCAAUCAGAAUCACACUUUCCCCCUUUCUGUUUGAACACUAGCCAGCUAGCAUAGCCAGAACAAGAUUCAAUAACAAAUCCUGCACCAGCGCCGCUCUUCCUGCUAUCCGACAUCCAGCAUGAGCGCGACUCGCUGCUCAGUGUACCGGAGCACAUGGAUUUCAUUUCCUUCAAAUUAAUUCUUGACCACGCCACUGGAUCCGUGGUGUUUGGGUCUAAAAGAGCAUGCGGUUGAAACUGGCCGGCGGUGUAGAGCAGAUCUGAUGAUCUCAGAAGAAAUUCAGGUCAGUAUGCUCCUCUUUCCUUCUCUACAACUUUCAUUCUGCAGUCCACUCUCCAGCACGCUCGUUUCAUUUGGAGCGAUGUCAUAGCUCCGCCCCUCACACGUGACACAAGCCAAGACAACAAAUCCUCCUUCUUCUUAAAGCCACAUGCGAGUUUGUUUUCUGUGCAAAAUUUUUCAUCCAUAAGCAAAAAAUGUCAGAAGUUGCAACCUUACUUUCUCCUUUUUACACUGGAAAUAGAUUCGCUUCUCAAAAUAACAGGAAGGAAACAACAUACAUUUCAAAGUUCCCAUGAAACAGCCUUUAUAGACAUAGAUCAGUGAAUGUGUUUAUUUUUAUGUGUUUUUGUUAUGAAACUGGAUUACUCUAUCUGUAAUGUUUUUUUUCUGUCUGUCAAUAUUGUUUUCCUUCAAAGAAUAAUAAAAAAAAAAACCUGAAAGCCACAUGGCACUGUUUUCUGAUAAACUGAUGGCUUUUGAUACUUAAUUACUAACUAAUGUGUUAGUAUUUAUACUAUCGUGAAAUGUUAUUUGUCUUGAUGGUUCACAUGCACCAUACAAAAUACUUUACAUACAAAAGUACUGUGAUCAACCCAUUCAUCCACUGUAUCAGCAUUCAUUCAAAAGGUGUCUCCCAUAAUCCAGUACAGAAAGUAUGAACCGGAACGGGACGGUACAUUACAAUAACUUUAUGUUUUCUAAAUAUUCUAAAGGUUUCAUACUUAACAUCGUGUACUCGCAUGUAUCACUGUCAUGUAUUCUUUGAUUAUCCAGUAUUAUUAUAUCUCGUCACAUUGUAUUAACAUUAUAUUCAUGAUAUUUUCAAUUGAAAUUGAUCUAAAAGCCCGGAACUCCAAUUACAUGAUGUAUAUACAAUACCCCGGUGUGACGUCACAAAGAAAUCCCGUGUGGGAUUUCAAAAAAGAUAAGAUCUUGAAAUGUAUACAAUGUCAGCUGAAGAAACGAAAAGGUAGAGGUAGGGGAAGAGGCAAGAAGCAAGAAAUUGUAAAAUAGAUGAAUAAAUAGUAGUUAAGUUAUAUGUUUUGACAGUAAAACAACUAAACAAUAUAUUUUGUUUCCUUCUAACUUUAUUUAUCAUACGUGACGGGACAGGUUCAUCUAUAAAGGUGGAAUGACUAAUGUAAGUACCAAUUAAUAAAAUGGUGGACGUUACGGAUGUCUCUGUGAAACUGGAACAAAAAAGGUAAGAUUAUACAUUAUGUAAAUAAACGUCACAAAAAUGGUAUUGCAGGACGGAACACUUGUUAUACAUGGGAUGGAACAGCAUAUAAAAACCCGGAAGGCAAAUAUAAGAAAAUACGUGACGGUACUGUUCCAUCCCGUUCUGUUCCGUACCGGGUUAUGGGAGAUAGCAUUCAAAGCAAGGACUACACAGUCACUGGUACACUACAUCCUAGCAAUAAAGUCCCAUUCACAUACAAAAAACCUCUUAAUGUAUCAAGUAAAAACAACACGGAUUAGAUCACAAAUUUGUAUUCCCACUCAUUCUGCAUAAUGGUAAAGUAACAGGUGACAUGUAAUCCCACUUGACUGUAUUUAACGGGAUACUACAAAGUGCGAACCUCUGCAAGACCAGAUAUGAUGUAUAAUUAAUUCCAGUUUCCCAUAUCUGCAUAUGUUUUCUUUCCUUGUUGUUUUGGAUUUACUGUCAGUCACUUUACAGUGAGGCAGUAUGAGUAUUAGGAUUGUGUAGGUGUCAGUAGUUCCAUUGCAGUAUCAUUGCAUCAUCAUUUACAUCAUCGCCAGCACCACAUUGACUGGUCAACACCAGUGUUUUUUUGGUUUUUGCACAUGGACAAUCCUAAAAUAUACUGAACCAGUACUUUGGUAUUUUGCGCAUUUGAUUGAUGUACCUAUUUAUUUAUUUACUGCCCUACAUAUCAUAACUGCUAUCAUUCAUUUUGUAUUCUAGUUAUAUUGACAUGGUUACUUUCAUAUUUGUAUUUAUUUA